rnacentral:tRNA from 1 species
GGUGUCGUGGCCGAGUGGCUGAAGGCAACGGUUUGCUAAAUCGUCAUACGUGGAAACGCGUAUCGUGGGUUCGAAUCCCACCGACACCGCCA